rnacentral:rRNA from 1 species
UACGUAGGUGGCAAGCGUUGUCCGGAAUUAUUGGGCGUAAAGCGCGCGCAGGCGGUCCUUUAAGUCUGAUGUGAAAGCCCACGGCUCAACCGUGGAGGGUCAUUGGAAACUGGGGGACUUGAGCGCAGAAGAGGAAAGCGGAAUUCCACGUGUAGCGGUGAAAUGCGUAGAGAUGUGGAGGAACACCAGUGGCGAAGGCGGCUGUCUGGUCUGUAACUGACGCUGAGGCGCGAAAGCGUGGGGAGCAAACAGG